rnacentral:misc_RNA from 1 species
AAAUGUUAAUAGUCUUAAAAACACAAAAAUUAAAUUGGUUUAACAAGAUUUGUUGAUUAGAAAAUAUUUUUCUGAUAUGGUUAUUUAAGAUCAAAAUGUUGAUUAAUCCUAAGAGUAUUCAUGAACUAAGGCUUGAACUAAGAUUACAUGUAUUAAUUGCUGUUGGAUGAAAUCUCUGAAUUUGUAACUUGCCAUUACCUAGGUGCAGAGAUGUAGCUCUAUGGAAAAAUUGGCCUGUCAACCCGAAUUUGCCACAGAGCUACAUUUAGCAAGUCAUUAUUAGAUGAGUUGUUUUUUUUUUCUAUAUAUUAAAAAAAACUCCUGUUUUUGUAAGUAAUGUCAAUAGUGCUGGGUGAUUGUGAUAAGAGUGAGAGAGAAUGGUGAUUGUUAAUCUAUUCAGCAAAUGCCGUGAAGAUACUCUGAUGUUUUGCAGAGGAAGUUUGAUAUAAAAUAUUGGAAACCUAGAGAAAUACAAUUUGCUGUCACAUAUUGAUAACUGAACAAAAGUGUAGAAAAAGGAGGAAAUCUAUUCACUAUAAUAUCUCAGUUAAUGAUAUUUUCUAUAUUUUUAUAUUAUUUAUACAUGUUUGUAUGAUGAUGCAGUUUUUGAUAUAAAUAUUUUUAUA